rnacentral:lncRNA from 10 species
AUUUCAGGGGGAAAGAGGAAGACACCAGGAAGUUUUUCACCAGCCAGAGUAUCGCACUCCUACCAAGUGCAUCUCUGCGAAGACAAAACCCCAUAAUGAAAGAAACAUUCUGAGGAUGUUUGCUGAGCUCCAUAAUUGAGAGAAAGAAGUUGGACAAAGACACACCCACAGGGAAAGCACCAUGAGAAGAUGACGGCAGAGAUCUGGGCGACGCGUCUACAAGCCAAGCGACACCAAAGGUGGCCAGCAGCCCAUGUGAAGCUGGAGGAGAGGCCUCGAAUAAAUGCUCCCUUACAGCGUUCAGGGGGAACUGACCCUGUCCACACCUUGACCUUGAACUUCUGGGCUCCAGAACUGUGAGACAGCAUGUUCUGUUGUUGAAGGAGCAGCGUGGCUAGAGGAAUUCCUGCAGCUUAGAUUUCGCUGGCACUGUUACCACUCCCAGAGAGGAGCGGCUGGAGUUCACGGCUGGUUCCUGACAAACUUCCUAAUUAAUCUGCUAAAGAUCAGAGGAGGACUAAUAGGAGCUGAAGACUGUGUGCGAGACCACCCCUCCGCCCUCUCCCUUUGUGUGUGCACGUGUGUGUGUGUGUGUGUGUGAGCGCGUGCGCGCAUGUGGUGCUGAGCUUGGCGGGAGAGAGAUGGCCUCACCAGCGACAAAGCAUUCCUGCUGCUGUUGCUGCCACCUACCUUCCCUGCUUUGGGAGGAUACAUUUUCUCCUCUUGCUUAGAAGUUUCAGGGAGUCACCCAAGCCUUCUUCUCCCAGAUACAACGGUGGAAUAAAAUAUCUUCCAGCCAACAUAUUUUUUGGAGACGGAAUCUCACUCUGUCACCUGGUUGAAGUGCAGCAGCGCGAUCAUGGCUCACUGCAACCUCUGCCUCCCGGUUUCAAGUGAUUCUCCUGCCUCCGCCUCCCGAGUAGCUGGGAUUACAGGCAUGUGCCACCCACCACGCCUGGGUAAUUUUUGUAUUUUUACUAGAGACAGGGUUUCACUAUGUGGGCUGGGCUGGUCUCAAACUCCUGACCUCUGGUGAUCUGCCCACUUCGGCCUCUCAAAGUGCUGGGAUUACAGGCAUGAGCCCCCGCACCCGGUUGCAACCAACUUUUUUGUGGAAUAUAGGAUCUUGAUGUUUGGAUGCCUGAAGGCAGAAGCUGUUGCACAUGGAAUGGAUUAAAGUUUUCCCCUCUGCAACCAAAAAUCCUUGGGGUCCCAGGAGCAAAAGAUGCUCCAUGGCACAGGACAAUUCAAGAAGGCCCGAGGUGAUAUUGAAGACUGCAGAGACAUCCAGCUCAGUUGUGUCUCCGGAGGUGUCCAGACUUUGCAGACAGACGUUGCACAUAAAGAGCUGAAAAACUGAGGAAGCUGAGCUGGAGAAGGAAGUCACUUCUACUCAGACUUGACCUGCGUCUGAUGCUAUGGGGCCUCUUAGGGUUACCUCAUGCUUCAUGCACCCCUUUCUCUGUUCUUCAGCAGAAGGCAGGGUGUAGGGAAGCGGGACUGUGCCUCCUUUCUCCCUGCCAGGCCUGACUCUCCAGGCCAAGAGACACCAUUAAGGAGUAUAAUUUGUUGAUCCAGGCUCUCCUUGCGUUUCAGUGCAGAGUGGCAUCGUUUUCUUUAUGACCUCGUAAAGUCACAGCCGAGAGGCCGAUUUGGAAAACAAACUGCCUCAGGUUGACAGAUAAUUAGAUACAGGGGACAUAUUAUAUGCCUUUGCAUAUAAAUGUGCUCCGAGGCGUGUUGGUUCAUCUGAAGUUGAGGUUAAAGGCGCGCCAGGUAUUCCUGACACAUCAGGAUAUAUAUUUUCAUACAGUCUCAGGAUCUUGGCAGUGGACUGCCACGGGAGCUCUGGGGAAAAAGGACCAGUUGGACUCCAGUACCUCCUGAGAGACCACCACCCUCCAUGCCUCCAGCUCAUGCCCAGCUCUGAGUCAGACGGACUCUUCCUGUUGUACUGCGAGGUUCUGCAAACCUUGAAGGGCAAACACAGUGAGGGUCUCUGACUUGCUGUGUGGACAGCCCACUCUCUGACAGCCCAGAUCAUCUGAAGCUAUCCCUGGGCUGGGAGCUGGAAGCCAUUCUUGUGAACCACUCCUUAUACCUUGAGCGAAGCCUCUUUGGGUCCCAGAAGUCUGAAGCUCCAGCUGCCUGGCAAGACUGAGUCUAGAUGAUUUCUUGGGUACCAGUAGUUUGGCAUUUAAAAAUACUGGAUUAACUGCAGUGUAAACUUAGAUUGCAUUUCAGAUUGUAAACAAUAACCCCCGUGCUUCAUGUGAUGUUAAAUCAGAAAUGAGCUAUUAGCCAAGCUAGUCCUCUUAUGAAUGAGCCCCUAACCCUGAUCCAGGGAUCGUUGAAUGAAAAUCAUCAAAAUGAUUUAUCUUCACUUUACCUAUUGUCUCACAAGAAUCUCAUCACUCAGGGAAAAGGAGGGUGUUCUUCAGGGAACGGAGGGCAUGAGGAAGGGGGAUUUCCUUAUAUCUCAACUUUCAGAGGGAGCUGAGUUGUAAACAGAUGGAACAAGGUGUGUACGAGAAGCCUCUUAGAUUUAGUCUUUCAUAUCAAGGCUCUUGCUGAAAAUCCUGGCACAGCUGUGAAAUGAGGGGAGCUCUGACACACAGAGACACGCUCCUUGCCUCACCAACCUUCCCAUACACAGUCAUGCGCACAGAGAGCAGGUACCAAUACUGAAAAUGCCCUUCCGGAGUUUCCUCAGCUUAAACCCUUGACAGCAUUAAGUGAGGAAGGAGUUUCCUUGACCUGGGGAAGAAGAACCAACUCAUAAACAUGGAACUGUGCCCACUGCCUUUUCCUUUGCUCUGUGGAUUGGCUGUGGUUCUGCCCUGGCACUCGGAUGUCAAGUUGCUCUGGCUGUUUGGGAGGAAGCCCAGCCUGGGUCAGGUGGUCAUAAGCCAGAGGCCCUGUCCUGUCCCCAGGGUUGGCCUCCCUCUGGGGUCCAGCAUGGCCCCAGUGCUGAGGCUCCCACUGCUGGGGAAUGUGCCCUCUCCUCUCUUUGUUUCCAUACCAAGGGGAUCUGCAGGGUAGAGGGCAAAUUAUUCUUAGCAGAUUGGGGCUAUGGGUAAACCAGAAGGGAUGAGGGAGAGAGGAGAGAGGAGAGGAAAGGGAAGGAGAGGGGAGGGCAGGGGAUAGGUAGAGGAGAGAGACAGCAAGAAAAAAUAGAAAAAAAAAAAAAGGAAAUAAAGGUUGCAUAUACAAAGGGAGAUUAACAAGGAGUAGAAGAAGGGAGGCAGAAGAGGGAGAAACAGAGAAGAGGAACAAAGAAGACAUUUCCAAAAAAGACGUGAGCACACCAGGCAGGAGGGAGAAAAGGAACAAGGAGAAAGGAAGGAAGUGAGACAAGCUGGGGAGAGAAGAGGCAAAGGCAGCCAGGAGCAGGCAUAGGGGAGAGAGGAGUGGGAAGCCCCAGGGGGUACAAGGAAAAAAAUGAGGGAAGCCAGUGGGAGGAAGGUGAGGAAGAGGAGAGGGAACAGGCACUGGGUGGGGAAGAGGCGAGCAGGAGAAAGCCUGUGCUGUGUGGAUUAUUGUGUGUUUGUCAUCUGGAAUGGUAUAAGCUGUAGGUACAGCAGCUCCCGCCCAUGAUUUAUGGUCCCUGUCAGGCAGGGACCGCGCUUUGUCUGCUGUAGCGUGGACGAUGAAUGCUCCGCUGUCAUCCCAGCCUGGCCGGCCUUUCUCUCUCUCUGCUCCCAACGCUGGCUCCCCAUUUCACGCCAGUGAACAUAAGCAAUCUUUUGUAAACCUGACAGUCACACUUGCUUCUUUGGAAACAUAAAGCAGAAAUGUAUGACUCGGCUUUCAUUACCCAAUUUCCUACGCUAUAUAAAAACACUCAGGAAAGACAUGUAAGUGGUCACGAAACCUGGGAAAUUGGAAGUGUCCUGGAGGAAAAAAAAAGGAAGAGUGGGGAGAAGGGGGCUGUAGGGUGGGAGGGAGCCGGUGAGGAGAGGAGACGAUGUGUCUAACUCCACCACAUCCUUCCCAGAAAACGCCGGCUGAUAAACGGGCCAUGCAGACACAUAAUUAUAUUACAUAUCUGAAUAAUAGACAUUUCCUGCCUGAAGUGUUGCUUUUUUUCCUCCUUCUCCUUUUAAC